GCCACCGCCAUCACCAUCACUACCACCACCACAACAUAUAAUUCUCUCUUUCUCUAUCUAUCGCCGAACACUUGCACCUAUGAUUCUAUUUAUAGGUACUCAUUAAGACGGUGAUUGUUCAAUGUAUAAUUUCCAAAAACAGGUAGAAAUAAUCAUUUAGUCCCAAAAUUGUUGGACUUUCGACGCUCUAGCCUCUACUCCUGUCCCUCCAAGCCUAGUACCGGUUAGUCCAAAAUUUCCCCUCCUCCUGAACAGUUUAGUCCAGAAUUUGGACGAGUCAGUCUUUUACUCCACCGAUACGAUUAUUUUUGCUACCCGAAAUGUCCUUGAGUCAUAAUAUGUGGGAUCUGGAAGAGAAAAAUUAGAUUAGAGAAAAGAGAGGGAGAGGCGAAGAAGCGAUUUCAAACUGGAGAUUCAGAAACAUUCGAUUCAUCUCGAUUUGAUUUGAAAUAAGCACGAAAAGCAUAAAAACGAUCAUCAACAAUGCUUGUUCUUGGAGAUUUACUUGGAACCAGAGAUGAAAAGCAUCAUCAUGAACAAUUGAAUCUAAUGAUUUUCGUCACCAAAAAUGAUUAUGAAGAUAAGUUUCAUCUUCUCUUAUCACUUAUCUAUAUCUUGAACAUUCAAUUUGGAGUUAUUAGUUUACCGUGUUUAGAAUUGGAUUUUUUUUAGGGUUUCUAUAAGACUAAACUAAAGAGUUCUUUUGAUUAACGUUUCUGAAUUGAAAUUAUAAAUUCUUUCAUUUAUUGUAUUAUUAUUAUUUUUAAGAUUAAAUCCGAGAGAUACGAUUUUAGAUAAGAUUUACAGAGACAGAGACAACUUAUUCGAUGAAAUUUACAGAUCAAUUUUUAUUUUCUGCUUGCAUUUUGAUUGAUCAAUCAUAUUUCCUGAAAAUCUCUGCUAAUUCCAUUGCUCAUAGAGUACUAAUAGUAUCAGUAUGCACAUGUUGUUAGAAGGCUAUCGGAGUAAAAAGCCUGUUUGAUUCAAUUACUCAUAAGGUUGGGGUCUUGCUUGUUAUCAUCAUCUGGUGGCGACACUCACUCACUUAGAUUAAGCGUUGGGGUUAACAUGAAUAAUCUAAAUUACUAGAGGGAAGCCUGCAUGUUGUUUAGGAAGCCAUAAUAAAUCCUAACCUAAUGUAAGUGGUUUGGGCAUUGAAGUUAUUAUUACGACCAAGAGGAAGGCAUCAUGAAAAAUCAAGAUAUAGAUAAGUGUUAGAGAGCUCGAAUAUUGGCAAUAAUGAAUAUAAAAUACUUAAUUAGAUUGCUUGUUUGGUUUGCAAUGCUAGUGUUUGACAAAAAUGAAACUAGUUGAUUCGACCUUCUUUUGCCACUAAUAAAUAUUAACAUGCUUAAGUAAAUCACGUAAUUUGUGUGCCCUGCUAAUGUUUAACAAAAACGCAAUUAGCUGAUACGACAUUCUUUUCAUGUUUCUCUGACAGGUUAAUUGCUUGGCUUUUUAUCCAUCCAUUGAGUGGGUUGUGGCUGCAGGUUCAACUGUAAAACGCUUAAGCUGUAUGACCUUUGGAGGAGGUUUUUCAAAUUGGAUGGAGAGCGAAGAAUGAAACCAUUUUAGUUUCUUGUUGCCUUGGAAGGAGACUGAUGGUAUGGGAUCUUAGCAAGUACUUUUCGUGAUUAAACCUCUGUACUUAAAUCUGGUAAUACUUGAAUUCUACAUCAUGAAAUUUCUAAUCUUAUGGCUUCAAGUUCUCUUUGCUUCUUCACCAUAGUAAGGACUAGCAUCAUCUCCUAAUCAUGAUCAUUAUUUUUUCUUGGAAACAAGAUCCUAUUCCAUCAAGCAUCCAUAGUACAAGGGUAUAAAGCUCACAUGCUCCCGUUUUAGUAUUUAUUACGUAUUUCAUUGCUAUGAUUAAACUAGUAUGAUUGUAUUGACAAUAAACAUCUCAAUCAUACUAUUCAUUUUCAAUAAUUAAAAGAUUUUUGGGACAUUUUUUAAAGCUAUAAACAUAUCUUGUGAAUCUAAUAGCAGUUUUUACCAUCCAUGAAUGUUGUGGCUCAGGUGUCACUUUGCAGUUGUGUUGGGUUAAGUAGGAUGUCUAUAUAGAACGUGUCUAUGGAAGUUUACAAAUUUUUACAGUAACUCAUCUUUUAACUGUAUACUCAUUUAUAUAACUGUAUACUCAUUUAUACACUAGUGGAAAAGCUUCUAGUGACCUAGUUUAAUCAUCAAUAAAGUCUUAUUUUAUCUACUUACUGUGGGGAUGGAUGAGAAAGAGAUUUACACCUAAAUGUUUGAGCAUUAUGUUAUCAAAUGUGUAAUUGGUUCACGCCACAGUAAGAGUGACCAGAUGUUGUAGGUUUUUUUUAUUAAUUUGAUGGUACUUUCAGUUUUGAAGUUUCCUUAAAUUAGUUGUGCUAGUGUUUUAAUCAAGAUGCUUUUGGAAUUGGUUAAUAAGAAGUGAGACAAACUUGAACUCGUCGUUAUAGAAACAACAGGUACGUACAUUUCAUUUUUCAUAAAUUUCGGGUUAUUGUUGCUCUCAGUUUUGCAUCUCCUCAUAAAGUUAGUUUGAUAUGUGCACAACCUGUGAUAUAGAAGAGUCCAUAAGCUUAUGCUUGCGCAGAUGACUAAGGUGUACAAACUGGUACACAUGUAAAAAAUUGACUCCAUAAGUUUAUGCUUGCAUAAAACUAGGGUGUACAAACUGGUACACAUGUAGAAAUAAAUGACUAUUAGUUUAUCCUUGGGUAAAUAAACGGGGUGUACAAACUAGUACACGUAGAAAUCUAACUCCAUAAGCUUAUGCAUGCAUCAAAACUAGGGUGUACGUGUGAAAAUAAUGACUCCAUAAGCUUACGUUGCGCAAAUAACUAGGGUGUACAAACUGGUACACAUGUAAAAAAUUGACUCUGCUUGCGUAAACCUAGGGUGUACAAACUGAUACACAUGUAAAAAAUUGAUUCCAUAAGCUUAUGCUUGCGUAAAACUAGGGUGUACAAACUGGUACGCAUUUAAAAAAAAUGACUCUAUAAGUUUAUGCUUGGGUAAAUAGAUGGGGUGUAAGAAUUUGUGCACAUGUGGAAAAUUGACUCCAUAAUCUUAUAUAAUUGGGUAAAUAAAUGGGGUGUACAAACUGGUACACAUGUAUAAAAAAUGGCUCCAUAAGCUUACGGCUUCAUAAAAAUAGGGUGUACAAACUAGUGCACAUGCAGAAAAAAUGACUCCAUAAGCUAUAAAUUCACAUGUAGAUUGUUAACGUGUACAUAGUUAUGCACCUCUUGAUUGUUUAUGUGUGUAUGGCUGUAGACCUAUUCAUUGUUAAUGUGAACAUAACUGUACACAUGUUGAUAGGUAAUGGUACAAAAUUAUAUUAUAGCCUGAUGCAGUUUUGACAUGAAUCUUUUUUAAUGAUGAUAGCAUACCACUUGUCCGAAGUUAAUGAAGAUUCACGGACAUGGAUACGACGCAGAGGCGAUUACCUAUUGAUUAUUUUGAUUAUAAAUGGCGGAUCAUUGGGAAUGCGACUAUGGCAUAAUCAGAGAUAUAUUACAGCUACUCCUGCUGCUUGGAAAUCCAAUGAUGCUGAGAUUAGAGCCAGUGAUGUUGGUGGUUUUGCCAUACCUCACAAUUUUUUUAACUUUGCAGGAUGCAACUCCAUCUGGAUCAUCUAUCCAAGGUAUUCUGAGUUUUUGUGAUAUGAUGAAAGUAUUAUGAGUUUUUGUCAUAUGGAGUUGCACAGAAGAUGGAUAGAGUCAACAACGUUUUGGCAAAUUUGUUUGGAACCUCUCAUGGAUAUAUUGCCUGUUAUGUGGGUCUGGAUAUUCGAUUUUCUGGAUUUUUGCAACGGUGUACAUAGUUGUACACAUUAGUGUAAUUAAAAUUCUAAAAAAAAGAAAAUUAUAGUCAUACGGGUAUUCUUUUUGUAAAUAUCGGAAUGAGCUUUCCGAAUAUGUAAAGUUUAUGAAUUUUGGAGGAGCGGUUCGAAAAAUAA